UGCUCUCAGUCUGAUAGAUUGACUUUUGCUUUUUCAGACAUUUAAUCUUUCACAUGGAAUAAUAUCUCUUUGGACCCAAUAUUGAGAUCGAGUGGAAAAACUGGCAAAUACAAGUUCAAUGUUAUGUAGUAAAGACUUUGACGUUUAAGCUGAAAUGAAAAAAGUGCAAAUAUUAUCCUCCUUAGACCCAGGCUAUUCAUUUACGUCCUCGUUUUUUGUUUUUUUUUUAAUUGUUUUUAUUGGGGUUUUUUACAAUUUUUUUUCAGCAAUAACAGGAAAAGAAAAAGAACACAAACUUAAACUCCUCCACUCGGGGAAAGAACUCGUCCCUGAUCCGGAGAGGGUACUCCACCCUUUUCUGGCUGAGGACCAUGGCCUCAGAGUUGGAGGUGCUGCUUCUGAUUCCCAUCACUUCACACGCAGCUGCAAACCAUUCCAAAGUGAGCUGGAGGCCACCAACCGAUGAAGCCAAGAUUCUGAGACGUACGCGCUCGCUUAACCUUAGAUUCCCUCAGAGUACUGGAAUUUGUGUUAAUAUAGUUUUUGCGGCCUGUUGUAGUGUGGCAGUUUGUUUUAUUCCGACGUUGUGGAGAGAGGUGCUCGUGUUAUCCCCACCAGCUGAGAGUAUAGCGCCUCUGGUCCUGGGGUAAGCCGUUAAAACUACUUUUAUUAGCAUUUAUAGCUAUAAGAGUUUAAGGUUACAUUUAUCUGUUGUUUUAGGGUUUGACUGCUGUAUUCACCUCUCCGUGGCAAAUCGCCCAACCUAAAUUGGAAGAGUGAAAUGCCUUCCCAGCCGCUAUUGUGAGGACUCCUCCUCAGUGGAGCCUGCUGUCUUGUCUUGUCUUGUUUUGUCUUGUUUUAGCUUGUCUUAUCUUGUUUUUAUUAAGUAGGCUUACCUUUUUCUGGUUCGCCUGGUUUUAUUCUAUUUUAUUCUGGACUGUUGCUCGUACCCACGCUUCUGUGAUCGGGUUGAAGCGACCCUCUGCCCGAGUGUCGUGCUGGGACUCUAAAUCGCCUGGGUUGCCGGUCUCAGCCGGUGGGGAGCCAGACCGGCCUGCGACUGAGAAUAAUUACUACCAGCACGAGUGGUAGUUUGACCCGUGGGGUAUAACCCUUCCUGUGUGCGUGUGUGUGAUUUCUUUUAUUAAAGUUAUUAAAGUGUGUUUUAGUUUUUUUAUGAUCUGUAGCGAGCCUGGCGCUCAGUGUCCUUUUAUUCGUUUAACAUAUUUUUCUAUGUUUUAUUUCAGUGAACGGAGGACGUGCCAGUGGCCCUGGGACCUCAGGUGGUGGGUCGUUUUCACACUUUCUUUUGUACAGCACCGGGUGGGCUGCAGUGAUUCUUUUUUUUUGUGUGAUUUUUUUUAUUUGGUUCACCGGCUGCUGGUAAGUCCAAGUUCCAUGAUUGUUUUAUUUUCACUUUAGGACACUGUCAACAAUGACGCUACAUCUUGAUUUUUAAUAUUUUAUUUAUUUUUACUAUAAAUAAAACUGUUUUAAUAUUGGAGCCAACCUGCCUCAGUGUGCACCUUUGAAUCUGUGCGGUCUCCUUUUAUCUAUUUUUCUUAAAUAUAUUUCCUGGGGGUGAAAUUCCCCUAGGUGGCGUUGUCCUUUUAUUUCCUUUUAUCUAACCCCGCCGACCACUUGGUCACAUUCCUACUGCUCGACAAUCUUCUCAGUCCAAUUCAGCAGCGCUCCACCCACACUAAACACAGUACAUGUAGAGCAUAGCUUUCUCCUCCUAAGUCAACCUACGGUUUGCCAGAAUCUCUUCGAGGCAGUCCAAAAGUCUUUUUCCAUGGCCUCUCUGAACUCCUCGCACACUCAAGUUUUUGCUUCAGCCACUGCCCAAGCUGCGUUCCGCUUGGCCUACUGGUAUCUAUCAGAUGCCUACGAAGUCCCACGGACUAACCAAGCCCAAUAGGACUCCUUCUUCAGCCUUCUGGCUCCCUUCACCUCUGGUGUCCACCAUUUGGUUCAGGGGUUAUCACCACUACAGGCACCAAACACUUUGCAGCCACGGCUUCGGCAAUGGAGAUGCUGAACAUGGUCUAUUCAGACUCAAUGUCCCCAGUCUCCCUUGGAAUGCUGUGGAAGCCCUGCCGGAGGUGUGCGUUGAAGAUUACGCAGACCGGGGCCUCUGCUAGGCAUUCCCAGCACACCCUCACUAUACGUUGAUAUGCACCAGGUCUUUCCAGCAUCCUCCCCCGCCACUUGAUCAAAAUCUUUUUUUUUUUUUUUUUUUUUUUGCCUGUCUCGUUUGGCUCUUUUGCCAUCAGAAUUAUUGUCUAAAGGCGAGGAAAGAUGCCCAAUGGAUUUACUUUACCAAAUUGACCAUCCCAGCCUUGCCAUAAUGGUCCAUUUGAUUCACCUUUUAUUGUUUAUUUUAUUUUCAUUUGCUGAAUACGGGACAGACUUGACUGGGGGAAAGAAGGGGAGAAAGAAAGAGGGAAAGAAAAACAGCUGAGAAGAGGGACGGGGGAGCGGGGCAAAAAACAAAAACCAACAUAAU
ensembl:lncRNA